CAGGACCACCUGCUCGAACCUUGUGCUGACAAGGCAUGGGUUGCUGAGAAGCUGUGGUCCUUGGCGCGGGGAGGAACCCGUGUCAGAAUUGUGGCUGGGUGCUCAAUCGAUGGUAUUCAUUGAAAAAGGAAAACACUCAGAGACAACAAUGUAGAUUCCCAGGCCCUGUCUUCAGCGCUGUGUCCAUGCUUGCUUCAAGUCCUACCACCAGGCCUUGCUGUGGGCUAGCGAACAUAUCGGGGCUCCAGCGAGGGAGACACGCUCCCCACAAUGCACCAGAUGUCACAGCCAGGAAUUCAUGUCCAGG